CUCCUGUGUCAUCGCUAGCUAGCUUCUUUGCUAGCUAAAUGAAUCUUCGCUUCGAAUGAGGACUGCAACAGGAGGAGUUUCUUGUGUGGUAGAGUGCUCGUCUCCCAAUCUGAAGGUUGCAGGUUCGAUCAUCCGACCUCCAGUUGUCAUGUCGAAGUAUCCUUGGGCAAGAUACCGAACCCCCAGUUGCUCCUGAUGCUGCAUCAUCAGUAGGCGGCAUGCUCUCAGCAACCAGCAGUUGAAACACAGUGAGGGCCAGCAACACAGUCACCCCCAGGGACACCUUCUCCCCCGAGUCGGCAGGGAGGUAGAAGCCCAGUGGCGCCAGGAACGAGAUGAGAAAACAAGGCAGGAGCAGGUUGAAGAUGUAGAAGGACGAGCGACGCUUCAGGAGCAGGGUGUAGGUGACCUCGGUGUAAGGAUCAGAGCAGCAGCCGUACAUCAUGACGUUCCUCACUGCCGGCAUGCCGUGGCACUCCCACUCCACAUUCUCCACAAAGUCAGACAGGUCGCCGCUGUCCAUCCCCAAGCUGAUGUCCACCUGUGUGAAAGACCACUGGGGGAUGACUUUUUUUUUCAUCUGGUUUCACAUGAUCCACAUUCAUUUGCCUCUUCUUCCUCACCUGGUUCCCAUUGUAGGUCCAGGAGCCAAAGGUGAGGUUGCACUGCUGCCAGUCAAAAGGAAAGUAAGAAACAUCCACCACACAUGUACUCUUUGUGAUGGCAGGAGAGUCCCAGACAAUCUCCCCAUUGUAGCGCAGCUUCACAUUGGUGUUGGAUGGACCAGAUGAUUCUUCAUCUGCUCUGCACACAUUAGACCCGAGUCAGAUGCAAACACACCUUCUUUCAAGUACACUUGAUUAUACUAUCCAUGCACAGUGUCUCCAUAGUACUUGUUUUUUAUGUUCAUCUACUAACUUGUUAUAAAGGACAAUGUCUGGCUUCCAAACCAAGUCGCUGGGAAUGUUGAUCAUCUCCAGAUCAUCGUAAUCCUCCUUGUUCCACUUCAGGUUGGCAUCGUGCCACACCUGUCUGAUCCACAGAUAGGUGGUCAGCACCUGGUUUCUCUCAUCCUUCAUAAACAAACACAAUAUGUAUUCUGGGUCACAUUUGAGACUUUUAACUUGAAAUUUCUUUCAAGAUUCCAACAUAUAGUAUCUCACAAAAGAGCGUACACACGUCAAAUUUCAGCAACUAUUUAUUAUAGCUCCUCAAGAGACAGGGCUAUAGCAGUGAGCAAGAUGCAGAUACUAAGAUAAAUAUCUAAUGAUCUUUUAGUUUUGGAUUAUUACUUUUUAAUUUUACUAGUCUGUGCAGCACUUUGGAAACUCUGUUUAUAAAAUGUGCUAUAUAAAUAAAGUGGAUUGGAUUGGAAAUAUGUGGUGCAAGUGUCAUAGUUAAUGUAAGGUACUUGUGCAAGGCACUUGUAUUGCCAGAGAUUUAGACCAUAAUUGUAAAUCUAUACUGCUAUACAAGCUGUACAUUGACUACUCUAAAGUAUAUGCAAAUGU